GAUGAAGAACGCAGCGAAAUGCGAUACGUAAUGUGAAUUGCAAAUUCAGUGAAUCAUCGAGUCUUUGAACGCACAUUGCGCCCCCUGGUAUUCCGGGGGGCAUGCCUGUCCGAGCGUCAUUGCUGCCCUCAAGCACGGCUUGUGUGUUGGGCCCCGUCCUCCGAUCCCGGGGGACGGGCCCGAAAGGCAGCGGCGGCACCGCGUCCGGUCCUCGAGCGUAUGGGGCUUUGUCACCCGCUCUGUAGGCCCGGCCGGCGCUUGCCGAUCAACCCAAAUUUUUUAUCCAGGUUGACCUCGGAUCAGGUAGGGAUACCUGCUGAACUUAAGCAUAUCAAUAAGCGGAGG
rnacentral:misc_RNA from 1 species